AGCUAGCAACGACUAUCAGCACUGAACACAUAUUUUUAACCGAUAAUCUAAUCAAUUUUAUAUAAAAGUGGCUAAUUUUAAGUACCAUCUUUAUUGGCAUUGUUUAUAAAAUAAGGUUUCAAUAAAAAAUGUCAACAAUUUCCACUAAGUUUAUUUCUUUACAUGGUAACUACCCAUUUGCUACAUAUUAAAACAUUUUUAUAAAGGGGUAUAUGUGUACUUUUCAAAAUUGUUGGCCCGUUCUUUUCCAUAUAAGCCCCAUGGAAGCGCCAGUGUGAAAAACCCCCGUUAUGCAUAUUUUUACAUUCCUUUUUUUUAUAUUUUUGAAAACAUUGAGAUUUUGAUGGCAAGUGAUCAAGAUUUCGAUGAUUUCCCGCAUUAAUAAUCGAUUGGCUAAGAGGGUGAGUGCAUAACCUUAAUAUACUGGAAAAUACUAUGGAAAGUAUUUUUAUAUUUUGCAAGGUGUGUGAACCAGACAUUGUGGCAAGAAAAUUAGUGUACUAAGUGACUUGGCGAUCAAAUAUACGGUCUGAAAUAUGCCACAUAUACCCACUUAAGACCCCUCUAUUUAAACAGUCAUUGUAGAUACCUCCUAUCCCUUCUUUUACUCACAAAAAAAAACCCACUAUAUCCACGAUUUUCACUAUUUUCGGUGCAAUAUUAAAAUACCCCUUUGGCAUACAAUAGGCUAAUCGUUCUGUGAUUUGAUAUUAUUAGCUUGCUAGGACUUUAUAGCUGAACAUGAAGUUUAUCCGAUUGAUAGAUUAUUUUUAUAAAAUAGUAGCCAACUUUUGCUAGUCAUUCUUAUUGGAUUUGUUUAGAAUUUUCACGAGUUUUCAAAGUGAAAAUUUUGAAAAAUAUACCGCUAAAAAUUAUUGUGUAAAAAAAGCACUACCUUUAAAAAAAACUGCAUACAAAAUACCAGAUUAAAUUGUUAAACAAAUUCCAAGUCCCCAAUCUAUCAAAAAAAGUUUCCUUGCCAGGUAAAAAAGAGUUUAAAUAAAGGGGCUUAAGUGGGCUAAGUUCGUUUUUUCAUCGGUAUGGCACGCUGAAAAGGCGCCAUUCUUAAGAAGCGUCCCUCCAUUUUUUUUUAACUCCUAAAUAAUUACAUUGAGCCUGGGAAGCAGUUGGAUCUUCCAACAGGACAACGAUCCAAAGCACACCGCACAUGUUGUGCGUGAUUGGUUGCUGUAUUAUGCCCCAAGACAGCUUCGUUCACCACCCCAAUCUCCAGAACUUAACCCAAUCGAACAUCUUUGGGACAUUUUAGAAAGAUUGGUACGGAAGUAUAACAUCAGUAGUCGGGAAAGCCUCAAAACCGCCCUCAUUCGAGCUUGGGCCAAAGUUCCGCCCACAACAACCGAAAAUUUGGUGGCAUCGAUGCCCCGACGACUACAGGCUGUAAUAGAUGCCAAUGGUGGACCAACCAAAUAUUAAAAGUAUAAAAAGUAUUAAUAUUAAGAUGACUUUGAGACUAUAAUACAAAAGCAUAGAGGCUGUAUGUACACUUUUUUCCGUGAACAUUUUAUGUUUUUUCGUUGUAACUUUAGUAUACAUAAUUUUUGUUUAAGUUUUUUUUCUGAAAUAAUAAUAACUUUAAGUGUCCUAAAUAAUGGCAUACCAACUUUUUUAAUUUUCAUUGCGAAAACCCGAAAUAUUGAAAAAUCGGUGCUGUAUGUUGACUUUUUUCCUUGACUGUAUAAACAAUAACUCAUAUAUUUGAUUGCGCGUUGUGUGUAGUUCUCCUCUCCUUUCUUUAAUAUUCUUGGGCGAGAAAAGCGAUUAAAAAUACACCGACAACCGACAAGGCAGGCAGAGCGAGAAUUGACAGGCGGUGGCGGCAGCGGCGAACCGACACCGACAGAGAGGGGAGUGUGUGCGUGCGUAACUUAACCGAUGACAUCGUAAAUUCACGGAAAAGCAGGUAGGACAAAAGCAAUUAAGCAUUGGCCUUCCAUGGGGCAGAAUCGGGGUAAACCUUGGCGUUUCAAACCGAUUGAAUGUAUGUGGUUUUAACAGGAAUUUAAUUUUACAAAGUAGGGCGUGUGUUCUUGCUGCUGGCAAUGCUCUUGCCGUGACGUUGUUUGUUUUAGUUUUUUUAACCCCAAUAAACACACGCACACACUUGUAUUUAUUCGGCGAAUUUCGUGGGGU